AAAUAAACCUUAUUGUAGCGGCUAUCCUUUUUGUUGCGCAGAUAAACAACCGAGCAAUAACAUUCACAAAAAGAUAAAAGCGGAAAGAAGGACUGCCU
rnacentral:sRNA from 1 species